UUUCCUGGCCUGCUACAGGCCAGGCAGGCAGUGAAUUUAUGGGAAGCUGGAGAGUGCCUGGAGGGUGUCACACUAGCAAAGCUGGAGCUCCCUUAAGUAUUCAGAUGGAUCUGUGAUCUCCCUCCAGCCCAUCCGGAGGGAGUCUGUCCCAUUUUUCCUGAUUCCUUGGCCACAGAACGCUCCUUGGCUUCCCUUGCUUUCCUGAGAUGGUACAGCUGUCAAUUUCUCGGAGAUUUAAAGGCCUCCUAAGAAUAUACCACCACCAGGGGAAGACUAGAACUACAAAGCUUGGCCUGGUUCUGGAAGGAGUCUGAAGUCAUUGAAGAAGCCCAGCUUCCUCCUCCUCCGCCAUGACAGAACCAGCUCCAUCUCGGGGCACCGUGUGGAUCCUUUUGCCUCUGUAACGCCCACUCUAGCUUCUGCUGCCUUGGAUAAAUGAACCCGUCAGCAGCUUGCCAGCUGCCUCCACUCUUUGGGAAAACAAGGAAAACCACGCUGACAUUCUCUUCCUUCAUCCCCUCAUCACCCCUGGACCUCCCGAAACCAAGAUAAGGACCCUCCUUACUUGUGCAUUCGGGGCUCUCACAGUGAUUGUCUAUUCGGAUUCCUACUUUAGCAGUGCCUGGCCCAUUAUGCCUAGUUAAUACAUGUUUUUCCAUUCAUUUGUCCCAAUCAAUUGCACGUCAUGGUGUGAGAAACAGA